UACGUAGGUGGCAAGCGUUAAUCGGAAUUACUGGGCGUAAAGCGCACGUAGGCGGCAUUGCAAAUCGGAUGUGAAAUCCCUCGGCUUAACCAAGGAAGUGCAUCCGAAACUGCAGUGCUUGAGUACUUAAGAGGAUCGCGGAAUUCCCGGUGUAGAGGUGAAAUUCGUAGAUAUCGGGAGGAACACCAGUGGCGAAGGCGGCGAUCUGGGAAGAUACUGACGCUGAGGUGCGAAAGCGUGGGGAGCAAACAGG
rnacentral:rRNA from 1 species